rnacentral:rRNA from 1 species
AGAGUUUGAUCAUGGCUCAGGACGAACGCUGGCGGUGUGCUUAACACAUGCAAGUGGAGCGACGAACCAGGGCUUGCCCUGGGGCAGAGCCGCGAACGGGUGAGUAACACGUGGGUAACCUACCCCGAUGACCGGGACAACCCGAGGAAACUCGGGCUAAUACCGGAUGUGCUCGACAUUCACCAGAUUGUCGAGUAAAGGAAGCUUCGGCCUCCGCAUUGGGAGGGGCCCGCGGCCCAUUAGCUAGUUGGUGGGGUAACGGCCUACCAAGGCUGCGAUGGGUAGCUGGUCUGAGAGGACGAUCAGCCACACUGGGACUGAGACACGGCCCAGACUCCUACGGGAGGCAGCAGUGGGGAAUCUUGCGCAAUGCGCGAAAGCGUGACGCAGCAACACCGCGUGAGGGAAGACGGCCUUCGGGUUGUAAACCUCUUUCAGGAGGGACGAAGGCGGGCCGGUUAACAGCCGUGCCGGCUGACGGUACCUCCAGAAGAAGCACCGGCUAACUACGUGCCAGCAGCCGCGGUAAUACGUAGGGUGCAAGCGUUGUCCGGAAUCAUUGGGCGUAAAGCGCGCGUAGGCGGCCCGAUAAGUCCGCUGUAAAAGUCAACGGCUCAACUGUUGAAAGCCGGUGGAUACUGUCGGGCUAGAGUACGGAAGAGGCAAGUGGAACUCCUGGUGUAGCGGUGGAAUGCGCAGAUAUCAGGAAGAACACCUAUAGCGAAGGCAGCUUGCUGGGACGUUACUGACGCUAAGGCGCGAAAGCGUGGGGAGCGAACAGGAUUAGAUACCCUAGUAGUCC